rnacentral:rRNA from 1 species
GACGAACGCUGGCGGCGUGCCUAAUACAUGCAAGUAGAACGCAGUUGCGAACGGGUGAGUAACGCGUAGGUAACUGCCUGGUAGCGGGGGGUAACUAUUGGAAACGAUAGCUAAUACCGCAUACUACCAGAUGGACCUGCGUUGUAUUAGCUGGUUGGUGGGGUAACGGCUCACCAAGGUAACGAUACAUAGCCGAGCUGGGAGGGGGAACGGCCAAACUGGGACUGAGACACGGGCCAGACUCCUACGGGAGGCAGCAGUAGGGAAUCUUCGGAAAUGGAGCGAAGUCUGACCGAGCAACGCCGCGGGAGUGAAGAAGGUUUUCGGGUCGUAAAGCUCUGUUGUAAGAGAAGCGGUAUCUUACCAGAAAGGGACGGCUAACUACGUGCCAGCAGCCGCGGUAAUUC